CAAGUUAGAGCUUGUGAAAGCGUUUUAUUUACAUUAAAAUGAAAAUUGUAAUACAAUUUAAUUUGA
rnacentral:tRNA from 1 species